UAGAGUUUGAUCCUGGCUCAGAUUGAACGCUGGCGGCAUGCCUUACACAUGCAAGUCGGACGGCAGCGCGGGCUUCGGCCUGGCGGCGAGUGGCGAACGGGUGAGUAAUACAUCGGAACAUGUCCAGUAGNNGGGGAUAGCCCGGCGAAAGCCGGAUUAAUACCGCAUACGAUCUUUGGAUGAAAGCGGGGGAUCGCAAGACCUCGCGCUAUUGGGGUGGCCGAUGGCGGAUUAGCUAGUUGGUGGGGUAAAGGCCCACCAAGGCGACGAUCCGUAGCUGGUCUGAGAGGACGACCAGCCACACUGGGACUGAGACACGGCCCAGACUCCUACGGGAGGCAGCAGUGGGGAAUUUUGGACAAUGGGGGCAACCCUGAUCCAGCAAUGCCGCGUGUGUGAAGAAGGCCUUCGGGUUGUAAAGCACUUUUGUCCGGAAAGAAAUCCUAAUGGCUAAUAUCCGUUGGGGAUGACGGUACCGGAAGAAUAAGCACCGGCUAACUACGUGCCAGCAGCCGCGGUAAUACGUAGGGUGCGAGCGUUAAUCGGAAUUACUGGGCGUAAAGCGUGCGCAGGCGGUGAUGCAAGACCGAUGUGAAAUCCCCGGGCUUAACCUGGGAACUGCAUUGGUGACUGCAUCGCUAGAGUAUGGCAGAGGGGGGUAGAAUUCCACGUGUAGCAGUGAAAUGCGUAGAGAUGUGGAGGAAUACCGAUGGCGAAGGCAGCCCCCUGGGUCAAUACUGAC
rnacentral:rRNA from 1 species